rnacentral:misc_RNA from 1 species
CGAACAUGCGGGACGGCCGCUGGUACCCGACUGGUACCGUCCUCGGCGACGGCACGGUGCUGGUGCUCGGCGGCGCCGACGAGCGGGGCGAUGUCACGCAGGCCGUCGAGAUUUAUCGUCCCGCGACCAACAGUUGGGCGCUCGGCGCUCCAGCUCCAUGGAAGCCGCCGUUGUAUCCGCGGCAGCAUCUGCUCCCGUCGGGCAAAGUGUUCGUCUCCGGGUCGCAUCCGAGGUCGAGGUUCUAUGACCCGAUUGCGCGCACGUGGAAGGACGGGCCGCAGACGUUGUUCAGCAGGAACCGCGACUACGGCACCUCGGUAUUGCUGCGCUCACGCCGGCCAACGGAUUCAAGCCGACCGUGAUGAUCUUUGGCGGCGGACACCACGGCGCGGACAUUCAGGCGACGACCGAGCGCGUCGAUCUCUCGGUGAGCGCUCCCGUGUGGAAGGACGGGCCGAACAUGAAGCAACCGCGCGUUCAGUUGAACGCGACGAUCCUGCCGAACGGAAAGGUGCUGGUGUCCGGCGGGUCGAAGACGAGAGACCCGGGGACCGCGGUCCUGGCCACCGAGCUGUACGACCCGGUCGCGAAGACCUUCAGCGACGGCGCGCCGAUGCGCUACGCGCGCCUGUAUCACUCCAAUACGCUCCUGCUGCCGGACGGCACGGUGAUGGCGGUGGGAAGCAAUCCCGGGAGCACGUACGAACACCACAUCGAGAUCUACUCGCCGCCGUACCUCUUCAAUAGCGUCGGAGGCCCGGCGAAACGGCCGUCCAUCACGUUGGCGCUACCCACGAUGGCAUACGGCGCUGCGUAUACCGUACAGACCCCGAAUGCAUUCGAUAUCCGCUCGGUCGUCCUGGUCCGGCCCGGCGCGCCGACGCAUGCCUUCGACGCCGAGCAGCGGCUGGUGGGGAUGACGUUCACCAAGGGCAACGGCGUGCUGUACGUGACCCCGCCGUCGAACCGCAGCGUCGCGCCGCCGGGGUACUACCUCUUCUUCAUCCUCAACGCGAACGGAGUGCCGUCGAUUGGAACCUUCGUGCGGCUGGGAUGAACCCGUCGCCGAGUCUUCAAGUCGUCGAGUCUCCGAGGUAUCCCCUCGAAGACUCGUCGACUUGCUCCCUACGCCGCGCGCUUGACCGGCAGCCGCAGGACCAUGCUCGUGCCCACGCCUUCGACCGAGGCCACGCUGACUUCGCCGCCGUGGGCUUCGACGACCUGCUUGACGAUGUAGAGACCGAGGCCCGUGCCGCCGCCGCCGCGGAGCGACUUCUUGCCGCUCUGCUUGUACUUCUGGAAGAUCUUCUCCAGGUCCUCGCCGCUGAUGCCCGUCCCCGUGUCCGUCACCGUGAUCACGAUGGACUCGGGGACGUCGCCGUUGCGGACGAUCUGUGCGCCGACGGAGAUCAGUCCCUUCUUCGGCGUGAACUUCAGCGAGUUCGAGAUCAGGUUGAUGACCGCCUGGGUGAGCUUCUCCACGCUGCCGAUGAUCUGGGGGAUGUCGCGGCCGUGCGCGCUGAGGAGGAAGAUCUCGUCGCGCGAAGCCACCGACUGCAGACUGCGCACGGCGCGCUUGAGGACGCCCGCGACGCGCACCGGCUCGCUCUCCACGA